GGGAUUUUCGUUUUGGGCCAGGAGACCGGAGCAGCUCGGAGUGGUUGAUGGAAACUGAGUCAGACGGAAAAGGGCCUGUAGGGGUCUCUGUUUGAUCUGGUAUCAGCGUCAGCUCCUUCAGGCUGGAAUCCUGAGGGAGUGAGAAGGCAGAGGAGGAGGAUGAGGAUGAUGAUGAUGAUGAUGAUGAUGAUGACGAAGAGCAUGCUGGGAUCUGAGCUGUAGAUGGAUGAGUCACCUCCUGAGCGCCGCGGUCCUCUGAGAACCCUCCUCUCCGACGACUGCACCUUCACACCGACAACAUCUCGGCUGCCGAACGAUGAUUUUAAUCAAGAGGUCAUCGUUGAUGAUGAUGAGGACAGGAAGUCGUCUCCUCCUGCAGGUUGGUCACAGGUGCAGGUGGAAGGAAAGGAGCUGAUUGGUUCUCUCCUGAGGGCUCCACCAUGAGAAGCCAGGUUCUACCAGCUGAUUUAUUUAAGUUUUUUUUUUUUUUUUUUGGUGAAGGCACUCUUUCUGUCUUUCUUGUUCUCUCUAAAACUGAACGUAACACACCAAAAAAAAAACUAAAUGAUUAAAAGUCUGUAAAACACA